GACCUGAGAGGGUGAUCGGCCACACUGGGACUGAGACACGGCCCAGACUCCUACGGGAGGCAGCAGUAGGGAAUCUUCCGCAAUGGACGAAAGUCUGACGGAGCAACGCCGCGUGAGUGAUGAAGGUUUUCGGGUCGUAAAGCUCUGUUGUUAGGGAAGAACAAGUGCCGUUCAAAUAGGGCGGCACCUUGACGGUACCUAACCAGAAAGCCACGGGUAACUACGUGCCAGCAGCCGCGGUAAUACGUAGGUGGCAAGCGUUGUCCGGAAUUAUUGGGGGUAAAGGGGUCGCAGGCGGUUUCUUAAGUCUGAUGUGAAAGCCCCCGGCUCAACCGGGGAGGGUCAUUGGAAACU
rnacentral:rRNA from 1 species